AGUUACCAGGUCUCCUAUGCCCCUGCUCCUGAAACUUGUGAUUCCAACAUACUUCCUAUCGCAUCAUCUAUUUCUUUCCACCCGGCACUAAGUAAGUUGAAAGAAGUCACAAAAUGUAGCCUUGCUUCUCUUUCAGUGAUCCCAAUGGUGUAAUAAUAGCACACCUGGAACAUUCACUGCUUAGGUCUAUUACCUAACUGCGUCAAACUCUGCUGUGUUCCAUUCCAAGUUCAGAAGUGUUUGAUACAUUUAUUUCCUUGAAUUAUAUUUUUGUUUUCCUAGGCAAAUUUCUUUCCCCUUCAUUUUGAAUCUUAUCCAAGGUGAUAAGUGCCUUUUCUUGAGCUCUAUGGCAGUUUGAGAGGGUCUUUAGAAAACAUAGUUUCCAUUUAUUUCCCUAGAUCUUCACUUGUUUUUCUGGCUAAAAGAAACUGGUUAAGGAUCCCAUCCACAGGACCUGCUUAUUAAACAUUCACCCUGAUUUGCUUGCACAAAGUUUAUGCAGUGGUUAGACCAGCACUUUUUGUCUAAAAAAAAUGUUUAGGGGCACACUCACAUUUUCCUACUUGUUUUUAAAUACUGCCUCUCAAUGAGGCCAAACUUAGAUUCACAAAAUGUUUAGGGGUAUUCAUACCCCCAGAAAAAAAGCACUGGUUAGACUAUGUCUGGUCUUUAUCGAGGAUGUGGUCUGAUUUGUUUACAUGGCAAUUAUAUGACAGUGAGCAGUCAUCCUGUUUUGCUUGUGGGGUGUUUGCGCAUUUUCCCGUUAUACACUAAUCCCAGUGCAUUUCCUCAUUGUUUCCCAAACUUUAAAAGUUACUUUUUUAAAGGGAGCUUUAAUCCACUUUACAUGCAAAAAGCUCCACUUCCUCUCUCAGACAAUGUGGAGUUUUUCUGAAGGCUCUAUUUUUUCUUCUUCCCAAUGUUAAGCUAUUUAGUAACUAGUACAUUUUUUCCUAUAGGUAUUUUGAAGCUUGAAGUUAACAAUGCUAAUUUUUUAUCUGAACAUUUUUAUUUACCUGGUUUAUAAGGCACAGGCUAGAAAACCUAUUCUUGGAGAGCAUCCAAAUAGCAUGAUUAUAAAGCUGAAGCCUUGGCAAAUGCUGAGUAAUAAAGAAAUGAAAAAAAUAUUUUCCAUAUAUCUGUAGUAUCACAGUAGGUGAUCAAGUUAUUAUUCAAUAAAUAUACAGCUGUUUUUCAUCAGUGACCCUUCCUUGUAAGUGGAGCGUCAGUUGCAGGCACACCACAUUUCUCCAGCAAUAUGUUGUUGCUAGAAAAUGCCACUCUUCCUCAGCUUCCAGAUGUGCUGCCUUUGUUUAAUGUGUUUGUGUGAACAUCAUGGGUUAGUGUAGGGGGCAUUAGCGAGGGACAACCUGACUGUGCCAUUAAACAAAAAAUUGAGAGGUUAAGUGAUUCUUAGGCACUAGUGCACUCAUGUAACCUUUUCAAAAUAAAGAGUAGGGAAACAGCUACUCUUGCUGUCUGCUAUUUUGUAAAUGUGAACCUUUAUUAUUAUUUUUAAUAAAAAAAAAUAAGCUUUAAUCGGUGUAAUUUAAUGGGCAGGUUAGUCAGUUAAUAAGCUUUAGCUGACCAUCGAAAGUAAGUUUUAUUUUUGGGGUUUGAGAUUUAUGGUAAUGCAUUUUUCUUUUUCGUGGCGCUGUCCCUAACCAAGGUACACAAUGUGAACUCAUAGAACUGGGUGUCCAUAACAGAACUGAAUUUGUCACUAGUUGUUGGGGAGGGGGAGUAUGUGUGUACAGGUAGUAAAGGCAGAGGCAGCCGGCUAUCAAAGGCUUUUGGUGUCACCUUCACAAGCAUCAUUCCACAUAUCGCCUCCCAUCACUCAUUCUCUAUCUCCCACUGUUUAUUAUGCUGUCACUUCUCUUCCCUGCAUCCUGCAUCUUUCAAGGAAGCCACACAAAUAGCAACAUUAUUGAAAACUAUUAGUGCUGUGCAGAUGCACAUUGUGAAGUAGUAUUAUCCCCCACUAAGGAUAUGGCUAUCAUUAAUGUGACUGUUUGGUCUCUGGGAAUAAAAUAGAGGAUAAAACUUCCUUCUCAAAGAUCCACUGUAAGGCUAAAGAUGAAGUAGGGGAGGAAAGUUAGGAAAAGAGUGCCAAAUCAGUUGUGUGGGAAUGAAGCCAUUCCCAUCAAUGCCAGUUUUGACACUGUGCAGCUGAUGCGCAUGAGAUGAGUAGCAGCAAACUCAAACACUCAGCAUAAAACUAAUCUGAGAAAUCCGAUAAUAAAUAGUCAGAAGUAGCAGUAUCAACACAAGAGGAGGUGAGCGCCAUGUGCAUUGUGAGAAGGGAAUAAGUGAUAAUACCACUUGAAAAAAAGCUUAGUGUGGAUAGGCCAAGUCUCCCAUGUUCAUAUCUCCUUUUGGCCUUGAGAGAAAUCAUGAUGACAAAACAAAUUGAUAAUGACAAAAGCAUGUCCUAUCAUUACAAUAGGCUGAUGAAUAAAUUGCCUGGAUUGCUUGGGAUGCUAGAUGGAGAAAGAAACUGACUGAUUUCACAUUUGGGAAUGAGAUCCAAAUGAAAUUAAUGAUAUCAGUUUAAAAUGCCAUACUGUGGGGAGGUUCAGCCUUCUCCCCUGGGCAUAGUAAAGUCAACAUCAUGUCCUGAUCUCAUUUAGAAUUGCCCAUUCUUCUUUCUAGCAGUAUGUCACAGCUGUGCUACUGUGUGCAUCUGGUGAAAGUCAAGGUGUUGUGCAGAAUUGCAAACUGGGCAAGUUCUGUGAAGUGUUCCUUUUUGGCAUACAGUAGCCAAGACAGAUGGCUUGUAGAUUUUCAAUAGCAUGCUGGCCUUGCCUAAUCUCAUCUUGACAGUCUGCUUCCAUAUCAUUUUGUGUCUUGAGAGAUAGAAUGCAAUUUUGAACAAACCCCUGGGCUUUGUACUUCUACAUUUGAACUUGUGAGAAUUCACUUCUCAUGUUGGGGAGAUGGUGUUAUCUUCAGUAGGAUCAGUGCUAUUUUUCUAGAAAAAGGGGUUGCUGGAAUUCACUAUCAACACCUCCCUCAGUCUCUUAGAAAGGCAAUGGUGCCCAUUUGAGAGGUGCCGGAACUGAGUCUCAGCAAGUUUCAGCUGGGGAAAAACCCUAAGUGGGGUUGCUAGCAGGAAGGUGUGCGAUAACAUUGGUGAUAAAUGAAUACAAGGAGAUUCAGCUUUCUGACAUUUCCAUGCUCAUACACAGCUUAUGUCAUGUGGUCAGAGGUCUUGUUUCCCAGCAUGCAUUGCUCUGCUCAUGUGAUGCACGCCACCAAGGUCAGCCCAUCCCAUUCCACCACCUGAGGUGAUUAGGGAAGGUACCACCCCUGCCUUGCUUAUCAGGGUCACACGGCAGUGGCAGGGAUAGGGACGCCACCCCAUGGGUUUCUGCAGCGGCGUAGCGUGGGUUGUCAGCACCCGGGGCAAGGCAAGUAAUUUGCGCCCCCUAACCUGGGGCAAGGCAAGUAAUUUGCGCCCCCUAACCCGGGGCAAGGCAAGUAAUUUGCGCCCCCUAACCCCUAACCUGCCACCGCUGCCAGCUUCUUCUUGCUGCUGCCUGGUCUGGUCUGGUGUGGUUCUCUCCCGCGCUCAGCGCUGCGCUGGGCGGCCGCUGCACUGUCCCUCCCCCAGAUAGUCACUCACUCUCUCUCCGCACCGCACGCCUGGCACCAACACCCUCGACAGUGGGCGGGGACCCAGCGGCUCGGAUCGGAUUCGCACAGCCAGCACUGCAGUGAGAGAGAGUGAGCGAGCCAGGUAGGGGCAGAGAGCUGCGAGUGCGAGCGCGCGCGCCCCAGAUGUUGCGCCUGGUGCGGCCGGCCCCCCCUGCACCCCCCACGCUACGCCACUGGGUUUCUGCCACCCAAGGCAGCUGUUUCAGUCCACCUCAUGUGUGUGCUGGCCCUGCACACCACUGCGGCAGCCAAUUAGUGAGUGGUAGUAAGGUUUGGAGUACAAAGGCGUGCCUUGUGCCCCCUAACCUAGCCUCUUGUCUUCUGGUGCAGAAGAGGAUGGUGUCCCAUUGUCAUUUUUGAAGUAAGAUUCAAGUGCCAGCCCAUUUGGGUUCUCUAUACGGAAUAGAAGGGGGCCGUCAUCUUGUCCUUGACUUGGAUCAGCCCUGACUGUGGGGCUGAGAUAGUGAUCUCUCAGCCUGACCUACGUUACUGAGUUGUUUUGAGAACUAAAAGGGAUGGAGGGGAGUCACACAUGCUGCCUUAAGCCAGAAGGGAUAGGAUAAUAAAAAUGUAAUAAAACAGUGAUAAAGUAUCCUUUGAGUAGAAAGUAUACCAAAACAAUUGUGUGCGUGCAAUGCACAAGAUGAAAAGCCAAAAGAAAUUGGUUCUUGGAAACAGAAACAUUUAAUCUGAUUUUGUAUAUUUCUUGACCUAAGUUGCUGCUCAUCUUUCCCAGCUCCUUAGCUUUCUUUCUGUAUCAGUUGUAGUGUGUGUGUUUUUCCCCCUUUAGACCUUGCACGGUUGAUUUUCCGGUUAAAUUUAUGUUCUAUGUUAUUAUGUUCUAUCAGUUAUUAUGCUAUUCAGCCACAUUUGCUGAAGAAAUGGCACCAUUCUUUUAACAUUAUCUGGUUACUGACAUUCCUUUUGGAUUGUUCUACUUUGAGCCAAAUUGUUUUAUUUAAGCUUCGUUAUUAUCUAUUUAAUUAAUUAAUUAAUUAAUUAAUUUAUAAUCUCACGCUUCCUCUUGAUGCAACAAAAAACAUCAAAUGCUUAGGUAAACAGGAAUGUUUUAAAAUUUCUCAUGGAAGUCUGUAGUGAGGGAGACAUAUGAACCAACCACACCAAUCAAAGUUUUCCACAAGCAGGGAACGGCUGCUGAUUAGGCCUUAUCGCAAUUCAGUGCCAACUAGGCACCCACCAGUGGCAGCACCACUGAAAACAAAUUUUGUAUCUUAUCCCUUCCAACUCUACAGUUCUAUGACUCUAGAACACCACAAUCUCCACUGUCCCUCCAUCAUUCCAAGGAAAUUGAACUUUGGGUUGUUGUUGUUGUUUAGUUGUUUAGUCGUGUCCGACUCUUCGUAACCCCAUGGACCAGAGCACGCCAGGCACUCCUGUCUUCCACGAACUUUGGGUAGGCGCCUCUAACCCCUGGAAUCUCAUACAACUUGGAGAUCAGGGUGUCAGGCAACAACAAAGCUCUAGAUGAGAUGUGGGGGUUUGGCCUAGACAUCACUAUGCAGGUUACUGAAGCAAACAGAAGGGACAAGAGUGAGAAAAAUCUUUCAGUGUAUGGUGUGAAUGUGGUCAGUGCCAUCUCUUCACAUUGGCUGGCAAUGCUUCAGAAACUAAAGUGUGCUAUCAGAAUAAAAAUCAGUAAUAGAAUAUAUGAAAGGACAGGGGUUAAACAUGUUGGGGGGGAAAGGGUGGGGGGAGACAUAAGAGAUUCUUCAAUGUGUGAUACAGUGCAAGGGUAUGUAUAGAACUUGCUCGCAAGUUCUCCUCUUCAAGUAAAAACAUGCUAAAUCAGGCAUAUAACUCUUAACUGUCUUGGAUUGCAAACUAGCCAGGCUUCCCUACAGGAACUAGCUAUCAACUUUGAAAUAGAACUGGCCUGGUUGGAAGGAAUGUUGGAAGAAAUGAUAAGGAGAGGUUUUAUUUGGGGCAUGGCAUGAAGCAAGGUGGAGUCUGCAGCUGGGAAUUUUUUUUGAUGGUAAUCAGAGUAAAUUUUUUGAUGAUAAUCAGAGGGACUUUGAAUUCCAAAGUCCUUUUGGUUUUUUAUUUUUUGCUGUCUCUCUGGAACACACCCAAACCUCCGGCAGUACAGUGGUACCUCGCAAGACGAAUGCCUCGCAAGACAAAAAACUCGCUAGACGAAAGGGUUUUUUGUUUUUUGAGCUGCUUCGCAAGACGAUUUUCCCUAUGGGCUUGCUUCGCAAGACAGAAACGUCUUGCAAGUUUGUUUCCUUUUUCUUAACACCGUUAAUACAGUUGCGACUUGACUUCGAGGAGCAACUCAUAGAACGCGGUGUGGUAGCCUUUUUUGAGGUUUUUAAAGACUUUGGUGAUUUUUGAAGCUUUUCCAAAACUUUCCCGACACAGUGCUUCGCAAGACGAAAAAAAUCGCAAGACGACAAAACUCGCGGAACGAAUUAAUUUCGUCUUGCGAGGCACCACUGUAUAAAAAUGUCCCUCUCUGAUUUAUAUACAUUUUAAAAUAACAGUGGUGUCUCUUUUGCACGCUUUCUAGGGUUUGUAAAGAACUACAUUUCAGAUCAGCUAGCUUUGCAAAAGCAAAAGAUGUAACAAGAUAGAAUCAAUUGACAGACUCAAAAACAUUGUAUCAGAAACACUGUUGGUGCACUCUAGCAAAAGUCAACCCUAGUUAUGUACCACUGAAAUCAAUGGACUUGAGUUAGACAUAAUUAUGGUGCCUGAAGUCCUAAUCAAGAGAGCAUGUCUCACCAAAUGCAAUGAAACUAAAGCCCUCACUAUACACACAGCUGCUACUAUGUGGAAAUUACAAAUCCAUGGGCUGAUCCCAUGUUACAGGGAGCAGUAAAUGGUGCAACAUGGGCCCUGCUGAUAUCUUAGUAUGCAUGGGUAGCUGAUGCUGUAGGUCCCAUUCCAUUGCUUUCAGUGGAAAAGCAACCUGUUGACAUCAAGACAUGUGCUACUGGGGUUUACCUCUGACUGACUCAGCAUUCAUAGUAUUGUACUAUAGUCACACCUAAAAUGUGAUCAACUCAUUUUGGAGAAGGAGUUAGGAACGAUAUGAUCAAAUACUAAGAUGGCAGAGUGGACUGGACCAGGUACAGGAUACCGGGGCUUUUGUUCAGGGUUCACAUUGAGAGAAAACAGGGUGGUCAAGGAGGAUCAAGAAUACACAAUUAGGAAAUAAUCCCACUGAACUCAGUAGGAAUUACCAUAUAUCUGUGUAAAUGUUCAUAGGAGUCUACUGUUGGUUUCCUUUCAGAAUCUAAUUGGAGAAGCUGCAUCAAGUGGUGUCCAUAGGCAUUAAGAAGAGGAACUGCAAGAAUGAAAACUGCAAGAAGUUGGAAAGAGGAGGUCUCAUUAAACUCAUUGAAUGCUUCCAAACUUUUUAAGAAAGCAUUAGUAAUUGAAAGGCUGACACACAAAGUUAAUAUCAAUGGGGGAAUUUAAAAAAACACUUUAGAAGUCCAGUGGAACUUUCUGGCAUAUAAAGGAAAAAUAAUAACUGCUAAUUCAUCAUAAUGAAUCUAGCAUAAAUUGUAUACUGGAUGUGUGUGUGUUUCCCAUAGGUGAUAAAAUAAUAGCUACAAAGCAGAGAGGUUCAUAAAGCGAAACACAGAUGGAAAAGAAAAAGAAGUACAGUAUGUAACAGUUUCACUUUGAAACAGAAAGCAAAUUACACCCGAGCAAGCAUCAGGCAGGCAACAGUUUUAGCAUAGUCAGUAAGAGAAAUGCACGUUGACCAUUUUGAAAUCAGUAACUUAAAGGGUGUUGAAAUGAAAUUUCAUGUGUUCUCUCUAUGUGUGCAGCUGUACAUCCCUAG